CAUGCAAGUCGAGGGGUAGGAAGAGUCUUGCUUUUCUUGAGACCGGCGCACGGGUGAGUAACGCGUAUGCAAUCUACCUUAUACAGGGGAAUAGCCCAGAGAAAUUUGGAUUAAUGCCCCAUGGUUUAUUGAGAUGGCAUCAUUUUAAUAAUAAAGAUUUAUCGGUAUAAGAUGAGCAUGCGUAUCAUUAGCUAGUUGGUGUGGUAACGGCAUACCAAGGCGACGAUGAUUAGGGGUCCUGAGAGGGAGAUCCCCCACACUGGUACUGAGACACGGACCAGACUCCUACGGGAGGCAGCAGUGAGGAAUAUUGGUCAAUGGAGGCAACUCUGAACCAGCCAUGCCGCGUGCAGGAUGACGGUCCUAUGGAUUGUAAACUGCUUUUGUACAGGAAGAAACAUUACUACGUGUAGUAACUUGACGGUACUGUAAGAAUAAGGAUCGGCUAACUCCGUGCCAGCAGCCGCGGUAAU
rnacentral:rRNA from 1 species